rnacentral:lncRNA from 10 species
CAUCUGGAUCAUUUCUAGAGCCUUCUGAUCAGUCUCCUCACUUCUACCCUUUUCCUAACAGUCUACUUUUGGAACACCAGCUGGAGCGAUUCUUUUGAAACAUAGGUCAGAUUAUGUCACUCUUCUGCUAAAAUUUCUCAAGUAGCUUCUCAUUUCAUUCACAGUGAACAACAAAACUGUUACAAGACCCUGUGUAACCCUGUCCUCAAACCCAUCUGACCUCAGCUUCCCCACCACUCCCUGCUUCAUUCAAACUGUCUCUCUGAGAUUUAACACUGAUUGUGUUCCCACCUUAGGACCUAGGCAUGCUGUUUCCUCUCUUCAAAGACACCAGCGAAGUCACUCAAAUAUCUACAUUGCUGGAGGAGUCAAAGCUUUCGAGACAUAAAUUCAAGCCGGGAGAAGUGUGAUGCCAGUAAAGGCUAGCCGGCCUUCAGAAUCAUUUUACGUCGUGCAACAUUUAUGUUGGAACUUAAUGGACAUAAGACACUAGAAUUUAAUAAGAGACUAAAAGAAAAUGGAUGAGACACUUGAAGAAUAUAUGUGGAGGAGGUAAGAUUAGUUAAGAUGGGGAUAUUUUCACAACUUUGGGAGGACAGGGAAGGAUUUUAUAGAGAUUCUCUUUUUCAAAGAUAGAGCAGGAUGGUAUGAAUCUUGCCCAUUAUAAGGAUUAAAGGGAGGAAUGAGGAUUUUUGUACAAUGAUACGCAAAUGUGUUUCUAUGGCUAUAUCAGAAUACUGAAUUUUUAAUAAAUGAAGAUUUAUGGAAACUCCAAGGCUGUAUCACUUUUGGGGGAAGGCGAUGAAGGUGAGGCUCAAAUAUUUGCAUGAAUAAAGAUUUUUCAGAUUAUUUUCAUGGGAAGCCAAUUUUGAAAUCAUUAAAACAGUCAAUCACAGGGAUAGAAUGAAGUGGUGAGAUCUUCAUAUCCUGAUAUAGGAAUGGGAUUGCUGCACGUGGAGGAGGAGUAAAAGAGACUCUCCAUUCUCAUAUUCUCUGACUCAGGAUUGAGAGAGUGACAGCCAGCGAUUUAUGGUAAGAACAUUGUCCUUAGUAUCUCUCUACCUCCUCUCUGACUAA